CUCAUAAUCCCACUAGAUGCAGCUCCAGCGCUGUGAAAGACAACCCCAGCUUCCGUGAGAUUUCCGACCACCUGGAUUGCAGAUGCAUUAGCCUUCAUCGCUUACCCCUCGGUGAACAUUAACUAACCCACACAAAAGGAGCCACUGGCCAGAAAACUGCUCCCGUUUCUAAGCCUCAGGGAAGUCCUCUGAAGAAACCUGCACCCUGAAGGUGUAAGAGAUAGGUGAACUGAAGGGAGGGUGUCCAACACUGUUUACACGCAGAAGCAGGACGCACUGACGUCUGCGUAGCUGGUGGAGGUGGUCGGUGGCGUGUGGGAUUUUAACCUCACCAUGGCUUAUGUAGCAGGCCCGUGGCCUACAGAAGACAUCUGUACCAGAGGUUACGCUUGAGGCAGUGCACAUUGCAGUGUCACUCGUGUGGAGACAGAAUGUCCUUCUGUGAUUGGAGGUCUUUGUUCUGAAGAUUUCCAGCCGCUCCAUGAAGCGAAUGCCAUGGUGAUCUAUAGAAGACGUGCCCAGCGUGUGAUCAAACAUACAGUGAAUGCUGCUGCUGAACGCCAUCCAACAGAAAGGCGGGCUCAAGAAAACGGCAGCGCUUCCUCAGCCACCUCAUUCAAUGCUCUGGCAUCGGGCGACUUCUGGCUCCUUCCCAAAGAUAAACUGACCAUGAAAGGGCAACACCCUGAAUUGAUUCAGGACAUCAAGGCAGCCAGGACAGCACACACAAGACACUCAGGAAGGAGAACUUGCAGAGCAGCUGCAGACAGUGGGAAGGAGGAUGAUUGUGCUAGACACUGGAGAUGAAAGGCUGGCCACGCCUAGCUCCUGCUGUUGAGAAACUUCCAAGUCAUCGGUGGAAGGCCUACCAGAAAGAUAGACAAUUUUAAUCCAGCAGCAAUGCCACGGAAAAGCACAUGCAGGAGAGAGACUGGAGGUCAGGUGAAGUCACCCCUUCUAGGGGCCUUGGCA
ensembl:lincRNA